rnacentral:rRNA from 1 species
GAAAGCAGGGGAUCGCAAGACCUUGCGCGAAUGGAGCGGCCGAUGGCAGAUUAGGUAGUUGGUGAGGUAAAGGCUCACCAAGCCUUCGAUCUGUAGCUGGUCUGAGAGGACGACCAGCCACACUGGGACUGAGACACGGCCCAGACUCCUACGGGAGGCAGCAGUGGGGAAUUUUGGACAAUGGGGGAAACCCUGAUCCAGCCAUGCCGCGUGAGUGAAGAAGGCCUUCGGGUUGUAAAGCUCUUUCAGCCGGAACGAAACGGUCACGGCUAAUACCUGUGACUACUGACGGUACCGGAAGAAGAAG